CGACACCUCUUCCAUUAUGAGAGUGAGGCUAAUCACAAAUUGGAGGUUCAGCAUCUCAUAUUUCGCUUGGACUGCUUACAGCCCAGUGGUAUGAAUAUUGAUUUCUCUCACUUCAA